UUUUGGACAGGCAGUCUGAUGAGAUAAUGUGGUUUGUGUUAUAUUUUUUAAAAACAAGAAAAAGCAAAGGGAAAAAUAAUUAUUUUUUCCAAGUUCAGUAGUUUUGUGAUUAGGACAUCUAAAUUUAAAACAAAACUGUUCCUAAUUACACCUAUAUAUCUCAGGUACUGAAUUGAAUGCCUUUCAACCUGGUUCUAUGCUUAUAUUUUGUGGUAUCAAAACUAUGAAAAAAUGUUCGUAGGAGAAGAUUUAGUCAGAUAAUGGUCAAAACAUCAUCAGGUCUAACAAUGCAAACAAGAUUCAAUUUUCUCAGCUAAAGAUACGCAUACCAAAAAAUCAGUUUUUCCUUAACGUGAGAGAAGAAACCAAAUAAAUGUGUAGUGUUAUAAGAAUCACGAAACGAUUUUGUGCAUUUCAUGUAUUUUUCAAAUACAAAAAAAUCAAAUGGCCUCUCUCUACUUGAAAUUGUAACUCCCCUUUUAAGUCUUAAUUAUGUGUCUUAUCCAAAGCAAACAAUGUUUCAAAAGCUGUUACACAACUUUUAAGUAGACUAACAAUAUUUGUUGAUUACAAACUUGAAUGACAUUCCACAUUCACUGAAUUUCAUUUAUUACAAGAAUACUUACAUCCCUACUUGGUGGCUCUGGACAUGACAACUUUGUUUACAUGACACCUGGUUAAGGCAGAUGACUACAAAAAGAAAGGGUCACUGCAAGGGUCAUCAGGGAAGGGGACACAA
rnacentral:lncRNA from 1 species